UUCUAGUCAUCGGUAAUAAAUCCCCCCCAAUAACGAGACUACGCUCCGCAUUGAGGGUAAAACAAGAUCUGGCUUUAAUGUGGGCUACCCGCCCAUAUUUAUGCAGGUAUCCCACUUGGUGGACACUCCCCUAGGGGACCAAAUGGGAGACUGUGAUGGCAGAUGGACACAUGGACAUUUCUGACAUACAGGCACAAACUUCCCACAAUGCAAUAUGGUUUCCUCCCCUCUGCCCUGGAGAUAAUUGAGAAGUAAUUCAAUUAUCUCCAGGACAAAGACAAAUCGCCAUCUUAAGUAAAAUACCAGAAAACACACAAAAAUACAUAAUUCCACAACUACCGAACAUUUUACAUUCGUAUCACAUAUACCCAGAUAGCCUGGAUCUGAGGGCAUAUUAUUAGCGAGUAGCGCUCAGAUCCCAUACGCAUAGUUCAAUCGCUAUGGAGUCAAAUUUCUUACAGUCUUUCGGUAUGCGAUUGACUCCAUGGGAAGGCUAUCUGGGGUAAGUCUCUUCAUGUAAUUCAAAACUCCCGAACGGCCGGUGUUCGUCGACGGAGAAAGGUGACCUGUUGUUUCAGCGGUGUUCGGCAGAAAAAGUGUCUGUUUUUAGUUCCAUGAAAUCAAUGCCAAACACCGCUGGUCUUUCGUGCAAUCUAAAAUGGCCACUGCCUCGUGGUCGACAUGCGAACGACGACCACCCUGUAUUCGGUUUUAAUUGAGAAGUGUCUGCGGUUAACCACAACGUUCUAAUUGGGAUCAAGAGGUUAACCAGCAGCACACUUCUAGUCUGGGUGGCCGUCCGUUCAGUAGAUUUAUUCGGUAAAAAGUCAAUCAUACGCAUGGGCUAUAGAAACAGGCAAUUUCCACGAAUGGAAGGCAAACCAGAUGAAUCCACAAUUAAUAAUCAUACAGAUGGGUCUGUCACAAUUUAGUUAUACUGAAUAUCUCCCCAGGUGUAUAACUGUGAUGAAUUGAGAACUUAAUAGCAAAUUGUAGGCCAGAAUAUCUUGAAAAAUCUUCUUUGGUGACCAUUUUAAAUCCAUAAAAUAAAAAUCUAUAUUGCUGACUUUUUAUAUAUAUUGGAUUAUACCAAUUACACUUUGUUUUCACAACUUCUUCGAUACAUUUUAGUGAAAUUAAUCUACAGAGGACCCUAUUGAUGUCAAUGUGGACUCUGAAGAUGAGACCUGUUAAUGUUGCCAGUAGAUUUUUCC